UGGGAGAUGGGGUGGUGGCUGGGCGGGCUGGGCCAAUGUGUGACCAGCUAUUAGUCGCUAUCAGCCCUGCUAUCAGUUCCCCUUCAGUGAACCCAGCAGAGAUGGGCUAAAACUAAAGGCACACAUCUCCAGGACCCUGGAUCCUUAGUUACACUCAUUGGAAAAUGCUUGUUUCUUUAACCUUUGACCCCCUGAGCUUUACGACCAAAUAGAAGUUACAAAUUGUUCAAGUCCAGAUGGCCUCACUCUGGGCUCCCACUAAAGUUGUGGGCGAUCCCAGGACCUUGAAGUCCUUUUACAGAGAAACUAGUGCCCAGACAAUAUCAAGAAACCGAGGCUUCCCAGGCCCAGCUCCUCGGCUCCCUGACAUCAGAGUCCACCUUCCCCCGUGGAGACAAACAGCCAAGGACGCUCAUCUGAGAAACCCUCUUGUUUCCUCUGCCAUCCCCCAGGACUCCAUGAGGGAGAAGUACUUUCCUUGAUGAAUAGGGUGGGAACUUGAGGCCUAGGGAAGAUAAGCACCUGCCCCUCAGCACAGCUAACAAGGGGCAUGGCCAGGAUUUGAACCCGGGACUAAGCCUAAACCCCGUGCCCUACGCCCUUCGCACUGUACCAGAUUCCUCUCAAUCAUGAAGACUUCCUUAUCCUUGGGGCUCAGGAAGCCAUCUUGCACCCGUUGUCUCAUUUGAUCCUCAAAACAGCUCUGUGAGGUGGGAGGAUCCACGGUCAGGGCCUGGCGGGAGAGGACGACCCAUUGCUCAGAUGUUUCAUUGAAGAGGGUUUAAUGAAAGGACCGUGUGCAGAGGUGUGGGUGGGGUUGAGGGAACCAACAAGAGACGGUGAGGUGCCAGGGAUGAUGAAGACUCUCCUGACCAAACUUUAGCUAGGCUCCUCUAAGCCCUCUUCUCGACAAGGCCUUGACUUUGGCCCCGUCUGCCUUUGGCCUGCCUGGCCGGGUCUCAGCGAGAAUCUUGCUGUCAGUUUAGUGAGAAUCGCCCCACUCUCGCUAUCUGAUGACCCUUGAUAUCUGAUCAAGUUCCUCCUCCCUCACCUUUGACGUCUAAGUCCUUUCCUGCCUUCAGCAAGAAUCCUGGGAUCCUUGAUGUCUCCUCUUAGUAAUCUUCCCUCCACUGACCCCCUUGCUCUGCUCCUUGGCUGUAAAUCCGCUUUGUCCUUGUUGUGUUCCAAGUUGAGCUCCAUCUCGCUCCCCUAUUGCAAUGGUCCUGACUAGUCUCCCUGUUGCCACAGUCCUGAAUAAAGUCUUCCUUACCAUUUUAACAAGUGUCCGAAUAACUUUUUCCUUAACAAAGGGCAAGGAGAGACAGCUGGUAAGAGCUGCCUUUGGGAGAGGAGCCACCCAGAGGAGCUUAACUACAGAGGAAAGCAGCCAUUGUCAAAACUGUGGCUUGGCAAGGGGGUCAGGUGGUGGGACAAGUACCUUGACCUCUCUCUUCUCCUGUCCACCGGUCUCCUGGCAAUGUCUUCCAUUGGCUGAACCCAACUCAAAGCCAGGAACAAGGCAGACAGAUUGGCGGGGGAGGGAGGGAUGGACUGUCCAUAGAGCUUUAUCUCCUGGCUGGAGAAGGUAGAAAAUGGAAUUGGGAGGGAUAAGGCAAAAGGAAAAUAACUCCACCUGAAAAUAUCAUUACAGGCAAUUAACAGAUAAAGAACUGAGAUUUGAUGAGGCUAUAAUUCAAGAUCACACAGUUGGGAGGUAGGAUUGCUGGUACUGAAACUCUGGUCUUUAGAUUCCCAGCCCUGAGCUGUUUCUGUUACACUAAUACCCGUUACACCCAAAUCUAGUGAUGGAAAACCACCGUCAUUAUUGAUCAUCACUCCGCAGUUCUGGCGGGAGACUGGGCUCAGCCAGGCGGUUCUCGUUCGGGGUCUCGCACGGCUGCAGUCAGAUGGCGGCCAGGACCAGAGUCACCCUAAGAGGUGCUCGCUCAAACAUCCAGGGCUGCAGCAUCCGGGGCGCCUCACACGCCUCUCCCUCCAUGUUCUCUCUCCACGAGGUCUCAGUGUCUGACAGCUUCAGGGCGCCUGGACUUCUUACAGAGUGACUCAUGGUCCCAAAUGUGCAUGUCCAAGAAAGAGAGAGCAAGUAGAAAUUGGACUGCGAUCUAUGACCCACCUUGGGAAGUCACACAGUGCUGCCUCUGCUGCUUCCAGGACAAUCACAAAAGCCUGCCUCGGUUCAAGGGGAGGCAACACAGACUCUCUCUCGAUGACAGAGUGAGAAGAUUCUGGAAGAGCAUGAAACUACAGAUACUGUUGUGACGAUUAUGGGGAAACACCGUACUGUACGCCCUCUAAACUUCAUUACAACCCCAUGAGUGACACAGAGGGGCCAUCUCUUUGCUCUGGAUGACUUUCCAGUUCUUGAAAGUCAUCCCUUUCUCCUCGUCCCUCUGCAGAGGCGGAGUGGGGCACGCAAGCCUGAGUGAUGACCACCCCGAGCGCCACAAGCUCGUGUUCUCGUAACAGGAUUUAAAAGUCCCCCUGAGGAUGGCGAGCCUGUGUUUGGCUCUAGGGUAACUUGUUCUCUGAGGGUCUCACACGGAUAUUCUCACAGCCAGCGAGGCAGAAUGUGAAGGUGGACACCGAAGGUACCAGAAUGCGUCACUCCAGAAUAUGCCACUUUGGCAUAGGGAUUAUUUUGAGCUAAAGGAGACAGAACCAGCGGACACAGGAAAAGCUCCUUACCUCCCCCUAACCGACUAGAAAUGAAGUAGAAAUGUGCCCUUUGGUAAAGGAAAUUUCCAUUCGUAAAAAAGUCCGUACCAGGAGGAAAGCUACCCCUGGAGGCAGCUCUUAUCCCCUGAGAGACUCUCAUCUCAAGAUAAGACAAGACAAACCUUAUGGACAAGACCUUCCUCCCCGCUUCCCAUAACUUGCCUCCUCACCCAGAAGUCCAAACCCCUUUCCCUUCGUGUAGUCUAAGAUGGUGUACAGGCCUCAAGCGUUUGUCACCUCCUCGAGUCUCAUUUCCCUGUGAAACUCCCAUGCGUAUGAGGUAAUUAAAGCUGUUUUUUCUCUUGUGAGUCAUCCUCUAUCAGACUGAUUCUCAGGCUUCACCACUGAACCUAAGAGGGUAGAGGGGAAAAGAUGUUUCCUUCCCUACAAUGAAAAUCCCCCCCCCAAAUUCAAUUAAAAAAUUUCCCUGGUGCCAAAAGGGAAAAAGAUCUUUUCUCCCUCUCCCGUUUCUUUUAGCACUCCUUUAGAAAACUGCUAACUGUGAAUCCUUCCUCCUUCUCUUUGAGGUGCGUGGAAACCUGUCACAAAAGCGAAAUAAGCCUCUUGCCACCUUUGCAUCCCAGGAGUGUCCUUCCUGAAGGCCUCGCAGCCAUCUUACUGGAAUGUGCUGUGCCAGAAUGAUAGAAGCCUGGGGAAAUUGCCCUUGGCCUCCUCAGCCUGGUGGACAAAGCCUGUGGGACUAUGACUGCACCCCGUCCAAGGAGGCCCAGAAGGAUGACUGAGGCUGGCGGUCAAGACAUCAGAGGCUUGCACAACCACGCGUUUGACAAACCCAUUGGUCGGGUGGAGUAAGCAACUGCAGAAUGUAUGGUGGGUGAUGUUGCAAACUGAUAAAUUCUAUGUGAGCACAUACUAAGGGACCAGACCAAGCCUGGUGGGUUAAUGUAUCAGACUGAGUCAUAGCAGUCACCAUUUUUGUAAGUAAAAUACAUUGGAAUAUCAAGAAUUUUAUAAGGUUCAA